rnacentral:tRNA from 1 species
GUAGACAUAGUUUUAAACAAAACAUUAGAUUGUGAUUCUAAAAAUAGAAGUUAAAAUCCCCUUGUCUACC